UACAGAGGGUGCAAGCGUUAAUCGGAAUUACUGGGCGUAAAGCGUGCGUAGACGGUUAUGUAAGUCGGGUGUGAAAGCCCCGGGCUCAACCUGGGAAUGCCAUUCGAGACUGCAUAGCUAGGGUGCGGAAGAGGGAAGCGGAAUUUCCGGUGUAGCGGUGAAAUGCGUAGAUAUCGGAAGGAACACCAGUGGCGAAAGCGGCUUCCUGGUCCAGCACCGACGUUCAGGCACGAAAGCGUGGGGAGCAAACAGG
rnacentral:rRNA from 2 species